CACACCAUGGGAGUGGGUUGCACCAGAAGUAGCUAGUCUAACCUUCGGGAGGACGGUUACCACGGUGUGAUUCAUGACUGGGGUGAAGUCGUAACAAGGUAGCCGUAGGGGAACCUGCGGCUGGAUCACCUCCUUAA
rnacentral:rRNA from 1 species